GUGGUCACUUCAGCAGCACAAAUACUAAAAUUGGAACAAUAAAGAGAAGAUUAGCAUGGUCCCUGCAUAAGGAUGACAUGCAAAUUCGUGAAGUGUUCAAUAUUUUU